rnacentral:rRNA from 1 species
CCUACGGCGGCAGCAGUGGGGAAUAUUGGACAAUGGGCGAAAGCCUGAUCCAGCCAUGCCGCGUGUGUGAAGAAGGCCUUCGGGUUGUAAAGCACUUUCAGUGGGGAAGAAAGCCUUGGGGCUAAUACCCUCGAGGAAGGACAUCACCCACAGAAGAAGCACCGGCUAACUCCGUGCCAGCAGCCGCGGUAAUACGGAGGGUGCGAGCGUUAAUCGGAAUUACUGGGCGUAAAGCGCGCGUAGGCGGUCUGAUAAGCCGGUUGUGAAAGCCCCGGGCUCAACCUGGGAACGGCAUCCGGAACUGUCAGGCUAGAGUGCAGGAGAGGAAGGUAGAAUUCCCGGUGUAGCGGUGAAAUGCGUAGAGAUCGGGAGGAAUACCAGUGGCGAAGGCGGCCUUCUGGACUGACACUGACGCUGAGGUGCGAAAGCGUGGGUAGCAAACAGGAUUAGAUACCCUGGUAGUC